UACGUAGGGUGCGAGCGUAAUCGGAAUUACUGGGCGUAAAGCGUGCGCAGGCGGUUAUUUAAGUCAGGUGUGAAAGCCCUGGGCUUAACCUAGGAAUGGCGCUUGAGACUGGAUAGCUUGGAGUGUGGCAGAGGGAGGUGGAAUUCCACGUGUAGCAGUGAAAUGCGUAGAGAUGUGGAGGAACACCGAUGGCGAAGGCAGCCUCCUGGGCCGAGCACUGACGCUCAUGCACGAAGCGU
rnacentral:rRNA from 1 species